UCUUAAUGAUGAGUGUAAAUGACAAGCAUAUGGCUGAACUACAGUGAUGUCAUUUUACUACUGAAAAG
ensembl:snoRNA SNORD27 Small nucleolar RNA SNORD27